UACGAAGGGGGCGCGCGUUGUUCGGAUUUACUGGGCGUAAAGGGCGCGCAGGCGGCGAUUUUUGUCAGGCGUGAAAGCCCCGGGCUCAACCUGGGAACUGCGUUUGAUACGGGAUUGCUAGAGAUCGGGAGAGGAGAGUGGAAUUCCCAGUGUAGAGGUGAAAUUCGUAGAUAUUGGGAAGAACACCAGUGGCGAAGGCGGCUCUCUGGACCGAUACUGACGCUGAGGCGCGAAAGCGUGGGGAGCAAACAGG
rnacentral:rRNA from 1 species